rnacentral:rRNA from 1 species
UACGUAGGGGGCAAGCGUUGUCCGGAUUUAUUGGGCGUAAAGCGCACGCAGGCGGUCUGCCAAGUUCGGAGUGACAGUUUCCGGCUUAACCGGAAAAGGUCUUCGAAAACUGGUGGACUUGAGGACUUGAGGGGGAGACGGAAUUCCGGGUGGAGCGGUGAAAUGCGUAGAGAUCGGAAGGAACGCCCGUGGCGAAAGCGAGGUCCUGGACCCUUUCUGACGCUGAGACGCGAAAGCCAGGGGAGCGAACGGG